GAAACCUCAUCUUGCUCGCCGCCAUCCGGGCGCCAGAAGCAGUGCUUCCCCCGAGGGAAGACACAGGCACUCCGCCUGGAUGAGGAGAGAGG
ncrna:unclassified sequences RAGATH-10 RNA